rnacentral:rRNA from 1 species
ACCCAGACUCCUACGGGAGGCAGCAGUGGGGAAUAUUGCACAAUGGGGGAAACCCUGAUGCAGCGACGCCGCGUGAGCGAUGAAGUAUUUCGGUAUGUAAAGCUCUAUCAGCAGGGAAGAAGAUGACGGUACCUGACUAAGAAGCCCCGGCUAACUACGUGCCAGCAGCCGCGGUAAUACGUAGGGGGCAAGCGUUAUCCGGAUUUACUGGGUGUAAAGGGAGCGUAGACGGCGAUGCAAGUCUGAAGUGAAAGGCGGGGGCCCAAACCCCGGACUGCUUUGGAAACGGUAUAGCUGGAGUGCAGGAGAGGUAAGGGGAAUUCCUAGUGUAGCGGUGAAAUGCGUAGAUAUUAGGAGGAACACCAGUGGCGAAGGCGGCGUACUGGACUGUAACUGACGUUGAGGCUCGAAAGCUUGGGGAGCAACCAGGAUUAGAUACCCCAGUAGU